rnacentral:rRNA from 1 species
CAACAGGGAUUGCCUUAGUAACUGCGAGUGAAGCGGCAAAAGCUCAAAUUUGAAAACCGGCAACCCCAGCCGGCAGUGUAAUUUGAAGGGACAUCUCGGAGCUGGCGCCGUCUUAAGUUCUUUGGAACCGGACAUCAUAGAGGGUGAGAAUCCCGUGCCUGGGUGGCUGUCCCGCUCCGUGUGAAUGUCCCGACGAGUCGAGUUGUUUGGGAAUGCAGCUCAAAAUGGGUGGUAAAUUUCAUCUAAAGCUAAAUAUUGGCGAGAGACCGAUAGCGCACAAGUAGAGUGAUCGAAAGAUGAAAAGCACUUUGAAAAGAGAGUUAAAUAGUACGUGAAAUUGUUGAAAGGGAAGCGCUUGAGACUAGAUUCAGUCGGCGGUGAUCAGCUAUGCUUCUGCGUGGUGCACUUGCCGUCGAUUGAGCCAGCAUCGGUUUUGAUGGCGGGAUAAAGGUUUGAGGAAUGUGGCUCCCCGAUUCUGGGGAGUGUUAUAGCCUUGAGCGUAAUGCCGCCUGUCGGGACCGAGGACCGCGCUUCGGCUAGGAUGCUGGCGAAAAGGUCU